rnacentral:lncRNA from 1 species
GUAAUUCAUGGGUGGCUUCCCACAGUAGCCCUCAAUUCUGGAGCUCUGAUAAGCACCUGGAACUCAAAGUAGAGAAGCAUAUGUGGAACAGGGGUACUUGGAAUCAUCAAGGGCAGGAGUUCAUAUUGGACAUCAGGUAGACCAUUAGACUAGAAUCAACCAGGUGAUUUAUUAAGGACUGACAAGUUAAAAAUAAGUUUGAAAUCAUUUUAAAAAUCAGAAAUGAUUUUAAAGUUCUAUUUUUAGAAGGAGUUCAGGAUUAGCAAGAAGCUAUCUCAGCCAGACUGGACAUUUGCUUUCAUUCAUUCAAUCAAUGUUUGAGCUCCUCAUAUAUAUCAGUUACCAUGAUUUCUGGUGGGAUUAAAAAGGUGAGUUCUACAUAAAACUUCUCCACAGGUGCUUGCAGUCUAAUGACAGAGACAGACAAUGCCAUAUGAUAAGUGCCAUAUGAUAAGCGUCAUAGCAGGGGUAUGUGCACAUGCUUUGGGAAUCCUCCUCAGUAUGACAGAAACUGCACAACCAGCACUUACCUCAUGAAGGAGUUUCCGUCUAGUUUCCCAGGCCAGCACCAGUGGGACGGGGACUUCCAGGAAGAGGAGGCAGAUCACGCAAUCUCCUCUUUUUAUGUCAAGAUCCAAAGCACUGAUCUAAAAUGAUAUAUCCAGGGCAGAGGGCCUAGAAACUGACUCCAUUUCUAUGAGUUGCUUGUUAGAUAAGAAGUUUUGUAAAAUAUUUUUGUGGUUUAAGAAUCCCAUUGACAGGGCUGGGGAUGUGGCUCAAGCGGUAGCGCGCUUGCCUGGCAUGCGCGGGGUGCUGGGUUCGAUCCUCAGGACCACAUACAAAAAAAAUAAAGAUGUUGUGUCC